rnacentral:lncRNA from 1 species
AUGUUUUCCCAAUUUUUUCCUAUUUUUUCCCAUCUUUUUCCUAUUUUUUCCCCAUUUUUUUCUCUUUUUUUCCCAUUUUUUCUCAAUAUUUCCCAUUUUUUUCCCAUUUUCCCAGUUUAUUCCCAUUUUCGAUGUUUUCCCAUUUUUUUCCCAUUUUUUUUCCAUUUUUUUCCCAUUUUUUUUCCAUUUUUUUCCCAUUUUUUUCCCAUUUUUUUCUCUUAUUUUCCCAUUUUUCUCAAUAUUUCCCAAUUUUUUUCCCAUUUUCCCAGUUUAUUCCAAUUUUUCUUGAUGUUUUCCCCACUUUCCCCAUUUUUUUUCCCAUUUUUUCUCUUUUUUUCCCAUUUUUUUCCAUUUUUUUCCCAAUAUUUCCCCCUAUUUUCCCAGUUUAUUCCCAUUUUUGAUGUUUUCCCAUUUUUUUCCCAUUUUUUUCCCAUUUUUUUCUCUUUUUUUCCGAUUUUUCUCAAUAUUUCCCAUUUUUUUCCCAUUUUCCCAGUUUAUUCCCAUUUUCGAUAUUUUCCCAUUUUUUUCCGAUUUUCCCAUUUUUUUCCCAUUUUUUCCCAUUUUUUUCCUAUUUUUUCCCAUUUUUUUCCCAUUUUUUUCUCUUUUUUCCCCAUUUUCCCCCAAUAUUCCCAUAUUUUUUCCCAUUUUCCCAGUUUAUCCCAAUUUUUCUUAAUAUUUUCCCCACUUUCCCCAUUUUUCCCCAUUUUUCCCCAUUUUCCCCCAAUAUUCCCAAUAUUUUUUCCCAUCUUCCCAGGUUUUUUUCCCAAUUUUUCCCACUUUUAUCCCAGAUUUUCCCCUUUCCCCUCCCCCUUUCCCCGUCCCGCUCAAUCCCGGCGUUCCCUCGGGAAUGCCCCGGCCGUUCCGCGUUUUCCAGGCCUACCUGGAGAUGAAUUUCAAGGAAGCCGUCAUGGCCGCCGUCAAGUUCGGGGAGACGGCGCCGCUGCUGCUGCACGGGAAACGCGUCCGGCUGAGCGUGGCCGAGAGAGCGCGCGGGGGACAGGUAACAACAGCCGGAACUACACCCGGAACUACACCGGGAAUCGUUAA